AACAGUGUGGCCUAGUAGAAAGGCAUGGGUCUGGAAACCAAAGGUCCUAGGUUCUAAUCCUGGCUCUGCUA
rnacentral:tRNA from 1 species